ensembl:lncRNA
AUGCACUGUUUGCCAGAGUGUACAGUGAUGUGGCAAAGAUGUUUCAGGCAUUAUGGGAGGCAUUUUGGGCGAGUCGUAUUUGAUUGUCAUCAGAAAACAAACCGUAUAAAUUUGGAUCAUCUAGUCAAAAGCUACAUGUACACUUUUGACAGCGACAGCAGAAGUAUGUUCUCUCUCCGUGUCCUCCUGCUUACCUUGGUGCUUCUGAACUUCAGAUUGCUGACAUCUGCAGAGACUGUAGUUACAUGUGAUGGGUUUGUCCAGCAUCUCAGUUGUGGUAAUAUGCGUCACAAUAAUCUAAAGUUAUUUAUUAUGUAUUCUAUUGUUAUUAUUGUUGUUGUUUUCAUUAUAUAAUGAUGUUUUUCUUCUGUUCAGAUACUGGGGUGAUCAGUGUACAAUCAGCAACCUGUGGCCGCACAAGCAGCCAAAUUUGCAGCGUUGGACGACCACCGUCUGAAACAUCUAAUACUCAGUGUUCAAUAGAUGUCCCUGCGAUCUUCAAACGGUAAGAUAUUUUUCAUUGACUUUUUGCUUGUGACUACAGACGGAAUACUAACUACAAGACACCAUCCCCUUGCACUGAGACAAAUCAAUGACUUGCUAACAACCUGAAUGAGUUUUAUUGUAGAUUUGAAACCCCCCACACCCAGUCUGACCAUCUCUCUACACAACCGAGCAAACAGGUCUGUGGAUGAUGAAGCACCAGGCCCAGAUGGUGUUACACCAGCCUAUCUGAGAACCUGUGCUGACCAAUUGGCCCCCAACUUUUCACAGAUCUUCAACAGAUCUCUGGGGUUGCGUGAAGUGCCUUCCUGCUUCAAACACUCAACCA